rnacentral:ncRNA from 1 species
UAGGAGUAACCCGAAAAGCCUUUAAUAGAGUAGGGA